AUGAGCGAGCAGGGGGCUGGGCAGGGUACCAAGGAGCAGUCAGUGCCGGCCGCCGUAGGGUCGAGAGAGAUGAGCUUGAGCGGGCAGGGGGCAGGGCAGGGUAGCAAGGAGGAGAGACUGGCAGAGCUGGAGGAGCUCGAGCUCCAAACGGACCACCAAGGGGUGCUGGCCAUCCUGCCGUCGUACGCGGGCAAGACGGUGCUGGAGCUCGGCGCCGGCAUCGGCCGCUUCACCGGCGAGCUGGCCAAGGAGGCCGGCCACGUCAUCGCGCUCGACUUCAUCGACAGCGUCAUCAAGAAGAACGAGGAGAUCAAUGGGGACAUCUACAAGAACAUCACUUUCAUGUGCGCCGACGUGACCUCGCCGGAGCUCAAGAUCGAGGACAACUCCAUCGACAUCGUCUUCUCCAACUGGCUCCUCAUGUACCUCAACGACGAGGAGGUUGAGAAGCUGAUUGGCAGGAUCGUGAAGUGGCUGAAGCCUGGUGGCCAUAUUUUCAUCAGGGAAUCCUGCUUCCACCAGUCGGGGGAUUCCAAGAGGAAAGUGAACCCGACGCAUUACCGGGAGCCGAGGUUUUACACCAAGGUGUUUAAGGAAUGCCACUCCUAUGACCAAGAGGGGAAUUCCUUUGAGCUUUCUCUGGUAACUUCCAAGUGCAUUGGAGCUUAUGUGAAAAGCAAGAAGAACCAGAACCAGAUAUGCUGGCUAUGGGAGAAGGUCAAGUGCACAGAAGACAAAGGCUUUCAGAGAUUCCUGGACAAUGUGCAGUACAAAUCCACUGGAAUCUUGCGUUAUGAGCGUGUGUUUGGGGAAGGUUAUGUUAGCACCGGUGGAUUCGAGACCACAAAGGAAUUUGUGGACAAGCUGGAUCUGAAAGCUGGCCAGAAGGUGCUCGAUGUUGGGUGUGGCAUCGGAGGAGGCGACUUCUACAUGGCUGAAACCUAUGAUGUCCAUGUCCUCGGCAUCGAUCUUUCCAUCAACAUGGUUUCGUUCGCGAUCGAGCGUGCCAUCGGGCGCUCGUGCUCGGUUGAGUUUGAGGUUGCUGACUGCACCACCAAGGAAUAUGCAGAGAACACGUUUGAUGUCAUCUACAGCCGUGACACCAUCCUCCACAUCCAAGACAAACCUGCUCUGUUCAGAAACUUCUUCAAGUGGCUCAAGCCUGGGGGCAAAGUGCUGAUCAGUGACUACUGCAGGAGCCCUGGCACACCAUCAGAGGAAUUCGCUGCGUACAUCAAGCAGAGAGGCUAUGACCUCCAUGAUGUGAAGACCUAUGGGAAGAUGCUUGAGGAUGCCGGUUUCCACGAUGUUGUCGCCGAAGACCGCACCGACCAGUUCCUGAGGGUCCUGGAGAGGGAGCUGGGCGAGACAGAGAAGAACAAGGAGGCCUUCCUGGCGGACUUCACCCAGGAGGACUACGACGACAUCGUCAACGGCUGGAGCGCGAAGCUGAAGCGGAGCUCCGCCGGCGAGCAGAAGUGGGGGCUGUUCAUCGCGACCAAGUGA
rnacentral:rRNA from 1 species